rnacentral:rRNA from 1 species
UACGUAGGGGGCAAGCGUUAUCCAGAUUUACUGGGCGUAAAGCGCGUGUAGGCGGCUGGUUAGGCGUGAUGUGAAAUCUUCCGGCUCAACCGGAAAACUGCAUUGCGAACCGACCUGGCUAGAGUGCAGGAGAGGGAAGCGGAAUUCCAGGUGUAGCGGUGAAAUGCGUAGAUAUCUGGAGGAACACCGAUGGCGAAGGCAGCUCGCUGGGACGGUACUGACGCUGAGGCGCGAAAGCGUGGGGAGCAAACAGG